AUUGAACGCUGGCGGCAUGCUUUACACAUGCAAGUCGAACGGCAGCGCGGGCUUCGGCCUGGCGGCGAGUGGCGAACGGGCGAGUAAUGCAGCGGAACGUGCCCAGUAGUGGGGGAUAGCCCGGCGAAAGCCGGAUUAAUACCGCAUACGACCUGAGGGUGAAAGCGGGGGACCGAAAGGCCUCGCGCCAUUGGAGCGGCCGAUGUCGGAUUAGCUAGUUGGUGGGGUAAAGGCUUACCAAGGCGACGAUCCGUAGCUGGUCUGAGAGGACGACCAGCCACACUGGAACUGAGACACGGCCCAGACUCCUACGGGAGGCAGCAGUGGGGAAUUUUGGACAAUGGGGGCAACCCUGAUCCAGCCAUGCCGCGUGCGGGAAGAAGGCCUUCGGGUUGUAAACCGCUUUUGUUCGGGAAGAAAACCUCUGGGCUAAUACCCCGGGGGGAUGACGGUACCGGAAGAAUAAGCACCGGCUAACUACGUG
rnacentral:rRNA from 1 species